UACGGAGGGUGCAAACGUUGCUCGGAAUCAUUGGGCGUAAAGCGCACGUAGGCGGUUUUUUAAGUCGGGUGUGAAAGCCCUGGGCUCAACCCAGGAAGUGCACUCGAAACUGAGAGGCUCGAGUAUGGAAGAGGGUCGCGGAAUUCCCGGUGUAGAGGUGAAAUUCGUAGAUAUCGGGAGGAACACCAGUGGCGAAGGCGGCGACCUGGGCCAAUACUGACGCUGAGGUGCGAAAGCGUGGGGAGCAAACAGG
rnacentral:rRNA from 1 species